UUAUCAUGCUGUGGCUUUUAGGACAUUCUGACUACAUUCUAUACUGUGACUUCUCACCCUGCACAUCAGGGAGAUGAUGGCUUUGUGACAGUUUGCUGCAUCUCGCCAUAAAAGAUUCAUAAGGCUAACUGAAGAAAAUCAAGACUCACUUUAAGAGAAAGUGUUUAUUGAAAGAAACAAUUACAUGAGGAAGAGUAAACAUUUUAAAGCGUUAAAAUUGUUCGUAACGGAGGACAGAAGUUUUGCAAACAGACGCCGUUGGCUCAGCUUGAUGAAUCAAUAUUAAAUGAGUGAAUUACUGCAGUUAAUGAAAAGGUUUUACGGGUUACAAAUAGUUGCGUGAUGUAGUUUGUACAUAAAUCUGAGUUCUAGUCCCUGAGCCUCAAAACUAUUUUCACAAUGUGAUGACAUGCAUAGUUUAAGUGUGACGUUUGUGGACGUCCGUCCAGCAGAAACGCAGCUCCGUGUUUACGACUUGUCGAGGUGAAGUGACAAAAUUCAGUGUCCUGCUUCCGAAGAAUGAAGCUUCUGUCAAGUGUAAAGCAAAAGACAAUUAAAGCGUUUGGGAGUUUUUAUUGUCUCACACGUGUUAGUUCUCAGAACAGAUAAGUAAGUAUUUCAUCCCAGAGCCUUUAACAGAUGCAUAGUUAAUGGUUUUAAGGAAACAGUGUGAAAACAAACAUUUCACAGCUUACUAAAAAAGUAAAAACACGAGUUUCUCCCUCGAGACGAAACAUACUUUUUCGCCUCUUCACUACAAAUACAUGAACUAUCCAUUUAUAAACCAACAGAAGAUGAUUCAAAGACCUUGUCUGUUUCACAGCUUUUCCCUUAACGCACAUCCUAAACGGAGGACACCUUUAACGACAGUAAGAUAUUCAGCGCUUCCGUUCGUCACCGCUUAGUUUGCAUGGGAUGCAGAUGGCAUUUGUUUUAUUAAAUGCUGCAGCGUAGCAGCAAUCCCUGAAGGGCGGAACAUCCAACCCUGAAUAACCUUUGAUUGAAAAUGUCUUUGCAGCCCCAAAUACCAAGCUGCUCCACGUUUCCAUAGCAACCGCAAACGGAUGCCGCUAAAUAAGUCACCGCUAAAUGCAUCCAGAAAUGUAUUAUAUUGAAAUUGAUCAGUACGGGCCUCAAAAAUGACUUUGGCAAUACGAGGAAGCUCGAAAUGCAUCUUCUUCCCACCGCAGCAGCUCUGCUUCGAGAUAAAAACGCAGAGGAAGCUUUAAAAAGGAGACGACAGUGAAACGGGACCGUAAACAUUGUGUCCUUUAGGAAUAUACUUUUAUGAGAACAGUUAUUAUUUCAGGUGUAAAGGCACAAACAUGAAGGAGAUUGUCUUGUUUCGGGGUUUUCAGGUCCAGCAGCGACGGGUCAGAGGAAUCCUGGGGGAGAAAACAGAAUCCCAAUAAGUCUUUGAGGGGAAACGGAUUCUUUGCUUCCGUCAAAAUAAGACAAAGCAAGACGGGAACUUCAGCUUUUACCAUUUAAACAACUCCUUCGAGGUAAAGAAAGAUAUAGAUUUUUUUACACUAUAGGUUACAUGAUCAAUUUCCAAAUAGAAUAAAAAAAAAUUUUUAACUUCAUAAAGAAGAAACAUAACUUACCGAGAUUUGCUCAGAGAUCGUCUGAGGCGAUUUUUAUCUUUUUGGGGGUUUUCUUUUUCUGGAAGGAUCAAAAAAGAAGAAAUUUAGUCGUGAAUCCAAACAACGUAACGGAAGAAGAGGCGAAGCGUGGGUAGAAGGUCGCGUCGGUUGCCAUGGAGACACGUCUCACCUUCGCAGCGGGAGGAGUUUGUUCCUCUGCAGCCGGUUCCGUCUCCUCCGACCGGUUCCUCUCUGCAAAUCAGAAUUCAAACAUGAAGCCUGAAGCUGUUCUUCCCGUUCGUGUCCGCUAAGCGAUUCCUUUGGUUUAAUGGAUUCUUUAAUUGCUAAAAAUUAAUAUGUUUAACAGCGAGAAAGUGUCUCACUCUUUUUCUUUGCAGAAGUGACGGGCAUGGGGCUGUCAGUCGUCUCCUCGCCUUCUUCAGCCAUGAUCAUCAUCUUCUUCUUCUUCUUGCCUUCCUUUGGAAGUGGAGUCGAUGCCGUCUCAGGAGGUCCGGAGCUCUCCUCCUUUUCCUCCUCCUCCUCUGUUUGCUUCUUCUUUUUCUUCUUCGGCGGUUGGUUUUCCUUUGAGGAAUUCUCUUCUUGCUCUCCGUUCAUUUUAAUCAUCUUCUUCUUCUUCUUUGGUGUGUCGUCGCUCUUCUGGGCGGGGUCACCUUGGGGCGUCUCCUCCGCGGUCGCCUUUUGUCUGCAAGAAUGAUUGAUGUUACUUGUGAUUAAUGAUUGUGAUUUACAAUGAAGGUAUUGCUGAUGUAACUAUACUUGUUAAAUGUUUGACUCUAAUCUAAAUAUAUUUUGUGUUUAUUCCACAUUGAUCUAAUUAUUAUAAAUUGCUUAAAUAUAUUUAUGCAUUUUUUACAGUUACAUUAUUUAUAUGCACGUAUUUUAAGACCAUAAAGAGGCCAAAGAAAACCUCUGACCUCAUCUUCAUUAUCUUUUUUCUACGGUGUUGCAACCUUUUCACGAGGCUGUGUUUCUUCCUGAAACGGCGAUUCUUAGUCGAUGAGCUUGCAUCUAUAAGAAGAAAAAAAAGAAGUAGUAAAAAGUACAAAUCAUUGAACUUCAAAUUGUAAGCGCAGUGAAAGAAGAAGGUAUUCGGUUGCGUUGUUUGUAAACAGUCUUGUGUUCAUUUUGCAUGCAUUGUUUGUGAGGAAUAUCUUUAUUUUCAUUAUUACCGUAACAUUACUACUAUAGAUUUUAACAACCAUACUUUAUGUCAGCCUGGACAUUUAAUCUGAAAAAGGACUAAAGACGGAGUAGAAAUAAGAGUUUGACAGGUGGGAGACACCGACUACCUGUGGACUCCUGAUCCUUGUCUGUGUCUGUGUUGCCCCCUGCUGGUGUUUCCUUAGACGGUUUCUUCUUCUUUGUCUUGGCUGGACUCGAGGACAAGCUGCACUCCACUUCUACGGCCUCGCUCUUCUCUUCUGUUACCUUCUUCUUCUUCUUUUUGAUUUUCUUCUCUGAAGGCGUGACCUCUUCCUUCUCCUCCGCUACCUCUUGCUCCAUCUUCCUUUUCUUAGCCUUCUUCUUCUUCUUCUUCUCCUCCUCCGGUGAAGUGGCCAAAGAGGCAUCCGCCUCCUCUAUCGUCUGAUCUGCCUCCUCCUUUUCUUCCGUCUGCUUCCCCUCGGCCCUCCGUUUGUCUCUCUUCAUCUUUUUGGCGGUCUUGGCGGCGAGAGGAGCGUCGCUGGGUGCGUCUACGGUGGACGAGUCGGUGCUCGGUGCCUCCGCCUCCUCUUUGCUCUUCUUUUUCUUCUUCUUCUUCGAGGGGGUUUUGGAAAGGUCUUCCUCGGGGGGCGGCUGGCUGGAUCGUGGCUGGGUCGGGUCGGUGUCCUCGAUGUUGAGGACGAUGGAGACUUCAGGGUCUCCGGAGGCCGUCACCAUUUCUGCAACAGGACACAGAAACACUUACCAAGUUGUAGCAAACCGAAGUCAACUUUAAAAAAAUUAAACACAAUUUGAGAAAUUGUUGCUAAUGAAAUAGCUGAGUAGCUAGUAACCACUAGCCUACUUUGACUAGUAACCACUAGGCUACUGUGACUAGUAACCCCUAGUAACCACUGGGAUACUGUGACUAGUAACCCCUAGUAACCACUAGGCUCCUGUGACUGGUAACCCCUAGUAACCACUGGGCUCCUGUGACUGGUAACCCCUAGUAACCACUGGGCUCCUGUGACUGGUAACCCCUAGUAACCACUGGGAUCAUGUGACUGGUAACCCCUAGUAACCAGUGGGCUACUGUGACUAGUAACCAGUGGGCUACUGUGACUAGUAACCAGUGGGCUACUGUGACUGGUAACCAGGAGGCUACUGUGACUGGUAACCCCUAGUAACCACUGGGCUACUGUGACUGGUAACCCCUAGUAACCAGGAGGCUACUGUGACUGGUAACCCCUAGUAACCAGGAGGCUACUGUGACUGGUAACCCCUAGUAACCACUGGGCUACUGUGACCGGUAACCCCUAGUAACCAGGAGGCUACUGUGACUGGUAACCCCUAGUAACCAGGAGGCUACUGUGACUGGUAACCCCUAGUAACCACUGGGCUACUGUGACCGGUAACCCCUAGUAACCAGGAGGCUACUGUGGGUGGUGAGAAAAGGAGUUAAUGUCAAGCCCCGCAUGCAUUUACAACACAGACCUUAUUAGAAUGACCAGCGUCUCUGCACACGUGCGUUACCGACAGGUCAAUUCCCCAAAUAGCGGCGUGUGGUGUUUGAGGUUGAACCUAACGUUAGCUAACAAGCUAAGUAGGGCUAAUCCCACACACACGUGCGGAUAAGCAGGAUGCAUCCGGCUCUCCGGUACCGUUAACUUAUUCAAACAAACAGCACAAACACGCACACGCUCUCUCGUCUGAACAACACGAACAUACCUGCAAAUGGGCCGAAAUAAUCACAGGAGUGAUUUUGUGUUCCUCAGUAAACGCGUUUACUAGAAUGAGAGGAAACACGCGUGUUGCCGGAAUGUGCCGGCGAAGACCGAAGCAAUCGAUCCCAGUGUAGCUGAUCAGGCGACUUAGUAGAUAAAGGAUUGAGGACUAAUGAUUCAUUCCUUUUAGACAAAAACUGAUGUAAAUAAACCGUAGAUCACUAACUCUCUAUGAAUGGACUCCUUAGAAUGAUGCAGGUCAUCAUUUGCACGCUUACCAGAGACGUUUUGCAAAUUUUCACUGAUAAAAACCUAGAUUAUGCGUUGAAAAAUGUUUAUUUAUUAACAUGUAUAUUAAUAUGUGCUACUGCGGGAUUAGAAAAUACUGUGUUUAACCAUUCAAGGUCUAACAUAGAAAAUGUUUUAUGUGAUAAAACGUUGGUAUUCAGGUACUUUUAGAGCUCAACGUGUUUGUUACUGAACCAACUGAACAAGAAUAUUCAUAAUUUAUAAUACAUACAAAUACAAAAUGAGACCAUUAUGGAACAAUAUGUUGAAGUUCGCUGGCUGAAACUGAAAACUCCUAUACAUGUAUUAAGCAUAUUCCGUCUCUAACAGUUACCAGAGUCAUUGGGGGGCUCCGGGGGGGUCGUCUGGUCUUCAGCCUCCAGAGAGGAUGUGAGAUCAACGGCCUCUGACCUCUGAGUGAACACAUUCAACAACUAGAUGUUAUUACCAGCACAACUAUUAUUAAUGCCUGUACAGUUUGUAUUUACUGUACCUCAGAUGUCUCCUUUUCCUCCUCGUUUGGAUUCUCAGAAUCAGGGUCUGAAAAAGGAGAAAAGUUUAUUUAACAGUCUUCAUCAGAAGCAUUUUAUUGGUACUUUGGGAUUACGAGGUGUUCAAACAUCACGACCGUGAGAGACAUACUUGGUGUAGAUGCCGUAACAAUAACCGUGAAACAAACAAACAGACCAAAUUGAAGGUGAAACUAUAAAACAUAAAUAUAAAUAUUCUGUGCGUCUCCCGUGACUGAACCAAUUAAACUGAUUUUACCACCACACCAACUUAAAAAUAAAACUGCUCUAGAUAUUUAUUCCCUUAUUAUUGAUAUUACCUUUUGACAUCCACAUGAACCACUCUUCCCAUUGGCAUAAAUCUGCACAAUACUUUUCUAAAGAAAAAAGAAAAUGUAUAAAAUGUAAAGCUAGUUCUAGUUACUCGUUAUUUCCUUCUUUCCAAGCCGUGAAGAACCAACGUUGAGUUUCCGUAAAACUUGAAUUGCACCGAUAUUAAUGCAUCUCGCUGGAAGCCCGACGUCAUGUCGGUGGAGCGAAGCUCAUAAAAAGCCAUUUAAUCUUCAUCCAAACCGCCCGAGUUCUUCUCUCUGAAUACGUUUUCAUAACGUAGAGUUUGGUCUUUAUUGCUCUCAAACUCAAAACCCUUUUGCCCAGCAGACACUCACUUGUUGUGGCAACAAAAGCAACAGGUGGAACUAAUGAACCGCGGCUUAAUUCCAGCAAUUAUCUUGAUGCAGCGCAGCGAUUAGUGAUGUCCUCACCGGUUGUUCAAACUGCGCCUGACAAGUCACAAUGUCUGCUCACGGGG
ensembl:lncRNA